GCCAAAAUGUCCCCCUGCCUCCCCCUUCCCGGGUGGCCACACCCUUCCCACUCCCACUUCUCAGAAAACUGCAAAGCGGCAGGGUAUUGGACCUUGCAAGACAUAGUCCCCUAGACCUUGGAACAGAGGGUCCCGCACUCACACAGGCCAUGACUGAAGCGAAGAGAUUCCUGCGACCUGCUCCACCAGCUGUCAGAAGACUCCACCCGAGAGACGGGCCCCAGGCCCGCUCCGACCUUUUUAACUGGACCAGACCCAACUCCGCUUGACUCAGCCUUCCAGACCUGACCAUCACCUUUCCAAGCCAAAGGCACAAAGAUAAGUCACUGUCUCAAACCUGCGGAGCAAAGCCUUGCAGGACAACCCUCCCCCUCCCCCACACGAGGACAAGUGUUCCUGAGGUGACUCUGCGGGAGCAGGAACGACCCUCUCCAGAGGAGAACCCACAUGUCCCCUUAAGCAAUUCGACUUCUUUAAGCCAUC